GGUGCUAUAGCCUAAUGGCAAGGCCAGGGUCCCAUAAACCACUACAUCCCGGUUCGAAUCCGGGUAGCACCU
rnacentral:tRNA from 1 species